UGAUCCUGGCUCAGAUUGAACGCUGGCGGCAGGCCUAACACAUGCAAGUCGAACGGUAACAGGAUGUGCUUGCACAUCGCUGACGAGUGGCGGACGGGUGAGUAAUGCUUGGGAACUUGCCUUUGCGAGGGGGAUAACAGUUGGAAACGACUGCUAAUACCGCAUAAUGUGCUCUUGAAAAAGUGUACCAAAGGGGGCUUUUAGCUCCCACGCAAAGAGAGGCCCAAGUGAGAUUAGCUAGUUGGUGGGGUAAAGGCUCACCAAGGCAACGAUCUCUAGCUGUUCUGAGAGGAAGAUCAGCCACACUGGGAUUGAGACACGGCCCAGACUCCUACGGGAGGCAGCAGUGGGGAAUAUUGCACAAUGGGGGAAACCCUGAUGCAGCCAUGCCGCGUGUGUGAAGAAGGCCUUCGGGUUGUAAAGCACUUUCAGUUGUGAGGAAAAGUGAGUAGUUAAUACCUGCUCACCGUGACGUUAACAACAGAAGAAGCACCGGCUAACUCCGUGCCAGCAGCCGCGGUAAUACGGAGGGUGCGAGCGUUAAUCGGAAUUACUGGGCGUAAAGCGCACGCAGGCGGUUUGUUAAGCUAGAUGUGAAAGCCCCGAGCUCAACUUGGGAUGGUCAUUUAGAACUGGCAGACUAGAGUCUUGGAGAGGGGAGUGGAAUUCCAGGUGUAGCGGUGAAAUGCGUAGAUAUCUGGAGGAACAUCAGUGGCGAAGGCGACUCCCUGGCCAAAGACUGACGCUCAUGUGCGAAAGUGUGGGUAGCGAACAGGAUUAGAUACCCUGGUAGU
rnacentral:rRNA from 1 species